rnacentral:rRNA from 1 species
GCUUGUCUCAAAGAUUAAGCCAUGCAUGUCUAAGUAUAAACUAUUUUAUACUGUGAAACUGCGAAUGGCUCAUUAUAUCAGUUAUAGUUUAUUUGAUGGUCCUUGCUACUUGGAUAACCGUAGUAAUUCUAGAGCUAAUACAUGCAUUAAACCCCGACUUCUGGAAGGGGUGUAUUUAUUAGAUGGAAACCAAUGCGGGGUAACCCGGAAUAUGGUGAUUCAUAAUAACUUUCGGAUCGAUUUAUCGAUGCAUCAUUCAAGUUUCUGCCCUAUCAGCUUUGGAUGGUAGGGUAUUGGCCUACCAUGGCUUUAACGGGUAACGGGGAAUCAGGGUUCGAUUCCGGAGAGGGAGCCUUAAAAACGGCUACCACAUCCAAGGAAGGCAGCAGG